rnacentral:sRNA from 1 species
UCUUCUGAGUGGCCUUAUGGGGAGCUUGGAGCCUACAACAUCUUUACUGGGCCAAAGAGCACCCUCUCCUCCCUUGUCACAGGUGUUUCAAACUCGAGCAGCCUCAGCUGACUACCUUCGCCCAAGAAUACCAUCACCAAUUGGUUUCACACCAGGACCACAGCAGCUACUCGGAGAUCCAUUCCAAGGCAUGCGCAAACCCAUGAGCCCCAUCACGGCCCAGCAGAUGAGCCAGCUGGAGUUGCAACAGGCAGCUUUAGAAGGGCUGGCCUUGCCACAUGACCUUGCUGUACAGGCAGCAAACUUCUACCAGCCUGGUUUUGGCAAACCACAGGUGGACAGAACCAGAGAUGGAUUCAGAAACAGGCAACAGCGAGUGACCAAGUCACCAGCACCAGUGCAUCGAGGGAAUUCCUCUUCCCCUGCCCCUGCUGCCUCCAUCACAAGCAUGGUCAGUGACCUUUAGUAACUGUGAAGGACUUUAAGGCUUCUCCCUGUUUGUGCGUGGGUUGUACCACUGUGUGCCCUAAAUGUCCUUGAGUUCCUUCCACGGAAAUAACUGACCUAGUAGUCUUUCAUACCUAUUAGGUCUUUCCCUUUUAGGACACAGU